GAUGAACGCUGGCGGCGUGCCUAAUACAUGCAAGUCGAGCGAACAGACGAUGCGCUUGCUCCUCUGACGUUAGCGGCGGACGGGUGUGUAACACGUGUAUAACCUACCUAUAAGACUGGGAUAACUUCGGGAAACCGGCUCUAAUACCGUAUAACAUGUUGAACCGCAUGGUUCAACAGUGAAAUACGGUCUUGCUGUCACUUAUAGAUGGAUCCGCGCCGCAUUAGCUAGUUGGUAAGGUAACGGCUUACCAAGGCAACGAUGCGUAGCCGACGGGAGAGAGGGAUAGGCCACACUGGAACUGGGACAGGGUCAAGGCGCCUAAGGGAGGCAGCAGAAGGGAAUGUGACGCAAUGGGCGAGAGCAUGACGGAGCAACGCGGCGUGAGAGAAAAAGAUCUUCGGAGCGUAAAAAUCUGUUAUGAGGGAAGAACAAAUGUGUAAGUAAAUAUGCACGUAUUGACGGUACCGGAUCAGGAAGCAACGGCUAACUACGUG
rnacentral:rRNA from 1 species